UGGAAGCCACGGACCCGCCCCCCGGCCCGCCCCCGGCAACGCCCCCGACGCGGAGCGGAACCCGGGGAGCCGGCCUGAGGAGCAAGGUUACAGUGGAAGAGGAGCCGGAAAUGUCCACAGCUGGGCUUCAGUAACAGAUGAGAAGCUCAGAGGUCAAAUCACCACACGCAGAGCCUGCCCUCCCAGCUGCGGGUACCAGCAGAGCAACUGUGCAGGAUCAGCCACCGGGCCAGGCUGCUGCCACCUGCAUCUGGCCACGGCCUUCAUAGUUAUCACUGUCUUCAAAUCAAACACAGACCUGGAGGUCGGAGUAGUGAAGUGAGACCUCGCGGGGACGCUUACGAUUUCAUUGGAAUUCCCUGUCCCCCCAAAGUGCCCAAAGGAACCAAGAAGGCGAUGCCGUUGUUUGGAAUGUCAUUCUUGCUUUGACCUACAAAGCCACGCUCACUAAGUAUCUAUAUUUUUCAGUGAGGUUUGACACCCUUUAUUCUUCGUGAUCCCGACACCCGUUAACGUAUUUAAUCUUUUGUGUCUGCUCGCUAUAAAUCUGGAAACUUAAUAUAUUAAACACAGCUCUCAUGCUGUACAUGCAGCUAUGGUCUAUUUCAUACGGUGAACUCUUAGGUUUCGGGGUCUCCAUCUAUCUUUCGUUUCUCACUGAAUGUCGCCUAGGUCCUAGGCAUAAUUUUAGGGUACAAAAAUUAUGCAGGGAGUGCACAGACUAGUGGGAGGACAUACGUCAACCCAAAAGGCCCAUCAAGUUUUACAGAAUGGGUGGCCCCAGUGGAUGGGUGGACAGCAUAAGCUCGGCCAAGGAGAACACCGAGAAGCCAAGUUUCCACCUGUGGAUACUCACUCAAAGGCUAUGUAGGUUACAAGAGUAACUGACAGAAAAAUUGAUGAAAGCCCACAACCAAUAUAGGUGAUAAAUGUCAGAACCAUCAUCUGAGCGGGUGGCAAGGAUGUUCGAGACAGGUCCUGGAAAAUAAAAUAUUGCUUUCAAGACCAGAUCUUUUAAAAUAGAUUACAGGGUCAUAAUUUACAUUUAUUGGGUGUUCUAAGUGCCCACCCAUAGUCUGUUCAACAAGCCUACAAGGUAGGCACAUUUAUUAUCAUCAUGUAAAGAUAAAUAAAACUGAGGCACAGAGAGGUUAAGUAAUUCGCCCAGGGUCACACAGCUACAAAGAGAGGGGUCAGGAUUCAAAUUCAGGUCUGGGUGGCUCCAAAGCCCAUGUGCUUAAUGACUGCAUUAUGCUACACUGGAAAAGCGCAGGGCGAGGAGCACAAAGACUUAAAUCUGGCUUCUGGCUCUUAUAUUUCUUAGUUCUAUGACUGUGGACCUAACAAAUGUCUUAAUUCUGACUUCAUUAAAAUGACAAUAAAAAUGCCCCACUCUACUUAUCUUGUUGGGGAAAUUAAAUAAGA